rnacentral:lncRNA from 10 species
GGACCCCCGGCCGGUGACACCAUGCCUGGGCCUCGCUUGGCCAUGCUACCUGCUGCAGGAGACUGCCCACUCAUUUGGCCCACCCCAGUUGAGUCUGGCUUGCCCACUGCUUCCUGAGUUCUCUUCUAGUGUCCAAGAAGAAUGAGGAUGCUGACAAUCGAAGAGUAUACAAGCCUGUUAAUAUGAUGGAUUUCACUGACUGACUUUCAUACAUUGAACCAGAUUGCAUCACUGGAAGAAACUCCACUUGGUUAUGAUACAGUCUCUCUCUGUUACACAGGCUGGAGUGCAGUGGCACGAUCUGGAUUCACUGCAUCCUCGACCUCCCAAGCUCAAGCGAUCCUCUCACCUCAGCAUCUGAGUAGCUGGGACAACAGGCGCCACACCACCACACCCGGCAUUGAUAAACCUUGGCUGUUGCUUCAAAUAUAAAUGAUUCUAGAACAUCAGAAUAACUAGUAACAGUAAGAUUACUCAAAUAAGCAAAUAAAAUCAAAGAAGGUAAGUAAAAAUUUUAUAAUCUAACGUUUGAAUUGGACAUAUCACUAUAAACUCAUUUUAUCUUUUAAAAUAAAUUUUAAAAUGCAUAUUUCAUUGCUCUGUCCCUUGAAAAAGUCUAAAAGGAAUGACAACUCAGCAGUAAUUAACACAAUAAGCAUCCAGAUUGUGGUUUUUAAAUCCUAUUGUGUCCAGAAUUGGUGGGUUCUUGGUCUCACUGACUUCAAGAAUGAAGCCGCAGACGCUCGCGGUGAGUGUUACAGCUCUUAAGGUGGCGCCUCUGGAGUUUGUUCCUUCUGAUGUUCGGAUGUGUUCAGAGUUUCUUACUUCUGGUGGGUUCGUGGUCUCGCUGGCUCAGGAGUGAAGCUGCAGACCUUCGAGGUGACUGUUACAGCUCUUAAGACAGCGCGUCUGGAGUUGUUCGCUCCUCCCGGUGGGCUCAUGGUCUCGCUGGCUUCAGGAAUGAAGCUGCAGACCUUUGUGGUGAGUGUUACAGCUUGUAAAAGCAGCGUGGACCCAAAGAGUGAGCGGUAGCAAGAUUUAUUGCAAAGAGCGAAAGAACAAAGCUUCCACAUUGUGGAGAAGGACCUGAGCG